rnacentral:rRNA from 1 species
UACGGGGGGAGCAAGCGUUGUUCGGAUUUACUGGGCGUAAAGGGCGCGUAGGCGGCCACCGCAAGUCGACUGUGAAAUCUCCGGGCUUAACUCGGAAAGGUCAGCCGAUACUGCGGGGCUAGAGUGCAGAAGGGGCAACUGGAAUUCCUGGUGUAGCGGUGAAAUGCGCAGAUAUCAGGAGGAACAUCCGUGGCGAAGGCGGCUCUCUGGGACGGUACUGACGCUGAGACGCGAAAGCGUGGGGAGCGAACAGG